ensembl:lncRNA
UGACAGGUGUACAUGAUAUAAAAUGACAAGUGUACAUGAUAUAAAGUGACAGGUGUACAUGAUAUAAAAUGACAAGUGUACAUGAUAUAAAGUGACAGGUGUACAUGAUAUAAAAUGACAAGUGUACAUGAUAUAAAGUGACAGGUGUACAUGAUAUAAAGUGACAGGUGUACAUGAUAUAAAAUGACAGGUGUACAUGAUAUAAAAUGACAGGUGUGCAUGAUAUAAAGUGACAGGUAUACAUGAUAUAAAAUGACAAGUGUACAUGAUAUAAAGUGACAGGUGUACAUGAUAUAAAAUGACAAGUGUACAUGAUAUAAAGUGACAGGUGUACAUGAUAUAAAGUGACAAGUGUACAUGAUAUAAAGUGACAGGUGUACAUGAUAUAAAAUGUCAGGUGUACAUGAUAUAAAAUGACAGGUGUACAUGAUAUAAAGUGACAGGUAUACAUGAUAUAAAGUGACAGGUGUACAUGAUAUAAAAUGACAGGUGUACAUGAUAUAAAGUGACAGGUGUACAUGAUAUAAAAUGACAGGUGUACAUGAUAUAAAAUGACAGGUGUACAUGAUAUAAAAUGACAGGUGUACAUGACCCAUUUGCUCCUCCUCCUACACCUCUCUGUGUAGAGAUCCUGCAGGGAUGGCGGGUCAGACCUUGUGAUGCUCUCAGCUGUUUUAAUCACCCUCUGAAGUGCUUUACGGUCGAGGGCGGUGCAGCUGCCAUACCAGGCAGUGACACAGCCAGUCAGGAUACUCUCGAUAGUGCAUCUGUAGAAGUUGGUGAGUAUCCUAGAAUGCAUGUCAAAUCUCCUUAAUCAGUGUAGGAAGAAGAGCCGUUUCCUGGCCUCCUUCACCAAGAUGUUAGAGUGAUGAGACCAGGUCAAGUCAUCCCUGAUGUUGACCCCGAGGUACCUGAUUUUGUGUGAACUCUCUCUACUGCAGACCCAUUGAUGUGUAUGGGGGCGUGGUCUCCCCGCCGCUGCUUCCUGUGAUCAACAACCAUCUCCUUCGUUUUGCCGAUACUGAGCUGGAGGUUGUUAUCCAGACACCACAAAGUCAGUGACCUUACUUGGUCUCUAUAGCUGACUCGUCAUUGUCAGAGAUCAUGUCUAUGAUGGUGGUGUCGUCAGCAAACUUAACGAUGGUGUUGGUGACGUGGGUUGCCAGGCAGUCGUGGGUGGAGAGAGAGUACAGGAGCGGGCUCAGCACACAGCCCUGGGGAGAACCAGUACUGAGAGUCAGUGAGGAGGUGUUGCCCAUCCGCACCACCUGGGGUCUGCCCGUCAGGAAGUUCAGGAUCCAUCUGCACAUAGAGGGGUUGAGACCCAGAUCCCUGCGCUUCACCACUAGCUUGUGGGGCACAAUGGUGUUGAAGGCUGAGCUGUAGUCAAUGAACAGCAUUCACACAUAUGUGUUCCUUUUGUCCAGAUGAGAGAGUGCAGAGUGGAGGGUCAGAGCGAUGACAUCCUCUGUGGAUCUGUUUUGUCUGUAGGCAAACUGCAGCGGGUCAAGUGUUACAGGCAUGGAGUCUGUGAUGUAAUUUUUAACUAGCCGCUCAAAGCACUUCAUGAUGAUUGGUGUGAGUGCUACAGGGCGGUAGUCAUUCAUGAUGAUUGGUGUUUGUGCUACAGGGCGGUAGUCAUUCAUGAUGAUUGGUGUUUGUGCUACAGGGCGUUAGUCAUUCAUGAUGAUUGGUGUUAGUGCUACAGGGCGGUAGUCAUUCAUGAUGAUUGGUGUUAGUGCUACAGGGCGGUAGUCAUUCAUGAUGAUUGGUGUUUGUGCUACAGGGCGGUAGUCAUUCAUGAUGAUUGGUGUUUGUGCUACAGGGCGGUAGUCAUUCAUGAUGAUUGGUGUUUGUGCUACAGGGCGGUAGUCAUUCAUGAUGAUUGGUGUUAGUGCUACAGGGCGGUAGUCAUUCAUGAUGAUUGGUGUGAGUGCUACAGGGCGGUAGUCAUUCAUGAUGAUUGGUGUUUGUGCUACAGGGCGGUAGUCAUUCAUGAUGAUUGGUGUUAGUGCUACAGGGCGGUAGUCAUUCAUGAUGAUUGGUGUUUGUGCUACAGGGCGGUAGUCAUUCAUGAUGAUUGGUGUUUGUGCUACAGGACGGUAGUCAUUCAUGAUGAUUGGUGUGAGUGCUACAGGGCGGUAGUCAUUCAUGAUGAUUGGUGUUAGUGCUACAGGGCGGUAGUCAUUCAUGAUGAUUGGUGUUAGUGCUACAGGGCGGUAGUCAUUCAUGAUGAUUGGUGUUAGUGCUACAGGGCGGUAGUCAUUCAUGCAGAUUACUUUUUGCUUUUUUGGCACAGGAACAAUGAUGGACUUUUUGAAGCAGGUGGGGACCACUGAUUGAUGUAGUGAUAGGUUGAAGAUAUCAGUAAAGACAUCAGCCAGUUGGUCAGCACAGACCUUGAGAACACGACCUGAGACGUUAUCUGGUCCAGGAGCCUUACGGGUGUUAAUUCUUUUUAGGGCUUUGCAAACGUCUGCCCUGGUCAUUUGUAAAGGACCAUCCUGGUCCAUUUGAGUAUCCAUGCUGUGGAAUCUGAGCAUUAACAAUUACAAUAUGAAUGUACGUUUCAUUGGAAGUGAAUGUGCCUAGAUAAUGAGAACAGAAACCUCUGUGUUUAGAUUCUCUCUCUGUAGGUUGUGCUCUGAUAACCACAGGAAUGUUUACAUAGACCAUUUGGCAUGGGGGUUACUGUCUUGGAAACCUGAUCUUUGCUAGGUAGACACACCCUUCAAAGUAUAUAUCAGCUUGUAACCAACAUUACAGUGAGAAGAGAUUGAGUGAGAUGAGAUUGAGGUUGUGUAAGGAAGGUCAGGUCCGUAACCUCAUGAACAAGACUAUUUAAUGCUGCAAUAAAUAAUUGAAUUACUCUCUCCCUUGACAAACGGGUAUGCGAUAAUUAUCACAACCACUGUACGAAAUGGCUGAUUUCUAACACCAGGGAUGAUGUUCUCAAAGUGAGUAUAGACAGAGUUUAGUUCCUCAGGGAGAGAAGCCAACACUUCCCCCACACUGCCUGAAUAGCCUUUAUAGUCAGUGAUGGUUCUCAGACCACUUCACAUGUUCCUGGUAUUGCAGCCCUGGUAGAGAGAUUCUACUUUGACUCUGUAUUUGCUUUUUGCAGGAGUCCCCAUGUUUGGAUGAGAAAAGGAAUGUGUUAGAGAGGGAUCUGGUAUUUGUUUAGAGGGGCAUUCUUGACCGGCACCAGUGGAUUGGAGGGUUACUUGUAAAUCUGUAUAAUCCUUUAGUGUCUAUCUGUUGUUUGUCCAGUAAUUGUGACUCCUCAAGUGUUGAGAAGGUUACCCAUGUGGGGGACGACAGCCUGUCCCUUGUGUGAAGUCCAGGAUAUGUGAUGGAACAAGGGGAAUGUGUUUUACUGACACACAUUUUACCAUACCCAUUUUUCCCCUUUAAGUACUGCAGAUUGUCCUGUAUUAAUUUAGAGAUUAUUCACUGUUACUCUGUAACCUGUGUACUCUCUCCUUGCAAGAAUAAAACUGUUUAUUGUGCAAUUUAGUUUUCCUCAGUCUUACCUACCAUUUCCGUAAAUCGUUUGGACUUGCCAUCACACAUGGCACGGAUACCACUGUUGACCCAGGGUUUUUGAUUAGGAAAUUAUUUUGUAGUAGUACGUGGUACAAUGUCACACAGGUGUAAACAUUCAAGCCUAUCUAUAACUCUAAAAAGUGGGCUGAGCGCAGCCCCAGCGUUGGCUUGAGAGGGGAUGUACACAGCUUUUAAAAUGACUGAUGUAAACUCCCGGCGUAGAUAGUUAGGGCGUCAUUUAAUCGUAAGAUGCUCCAGAGAGCAUCCAGGAGAAAUGCAGUCCGCGUCCCGACACCAAAGAUUGUUGACCAUGAUGCAGACACCACCCCCUCUGCUUUUACCGGACUCUGCCGUUGGAUCCUGCCGAUGAGUGGAACAAUGGCCGCAUCUGGGAUUGAGGGCUCCAGCCAUGUUUCUGUGAAAACCAGUACGUUACAGUUCUUAAU